rnacentral:ncRNA from 1 species
CAUCAUCUGGAUUAAAAGGGAAUCGGGUGUAAAUCCCGGACAGUCCCGCUGCUGUGAAGCUCCGUUUAUAUCAUGAAAAAUACCCUUGCCACUGAUAUGCAUUGAAAUAUCGGGAAGGCUUCAGGAUUAGGAGUCAGUCAGAAGACCUGCCAUUCAUUAA